rnacentral:rRNA from 1 species
AUUAAGUUUUAUUUAAUAUAGGAUCUGCUCAAUGAUUUAUUAAAUAGCUGCAGUAUUUUGACUGUGCAAAGGUAGCAUAAUAAUUAGUCUUUUAAUUGAGGACUUGUAUGAAAGAUUUGAUGAGAAAUAAACUUUAUUAUUUAUAAAAUUAAAAUUUUAUUUUUAAGUAAAAAAGCUUAAAUUAUUUAAAGGGACGAUAAGACCCUAUAAAACUUUAUAAAUAUUAAUUUUAAUUUUUUUGGAUUAAUAAAUAUUUUAUUUUUAUUAUUUAUUUUAUUGGGGUGAUAAAAAAAUUUAUUAAACUUUUUUUAAAAUUUUACAUUAUUUAAUGAAUAUUUGAAUUAAAAUUUUUAAUUAAAGGAAAAAGUUACUUUAGGGAUAACAGCGUAAUUAGUUUUUUAAGUUCAAAUUUAAAAAUUAGUUUGCGACCUCGAUGUUGAAUUAAGAUUAAUCUUAGGUGCAAAAUUUUAAGUAUUAGGUCUGUUCGACCUUUAAAUUCUUACGUGA